rnacentral:tRNA from 2 species
GGGGACGUAGCUCAGUUGGCAGAGCGCCACCUUUGCAAGGUGGAUGUCAGGGGUUCGAUUCCCCUCGUCUCCA